GUAGAAGAAACAAGAGAGAGCAUUCUCUCUUGAGUUGUGGAAAAUGUUGAGGAUGAUUUGAGGGAGAAGGAAACCAUCAAGUAUCAAUCCGGCAUAAGACCUUAAGGCCAACCAAAGGGAAUGCUGGUGAUUGUAUAUGUAAGUAUAAUUCAUAUCCUUUCCAAUAUUGUCAUUCCUCCAGUUCACAUAGAAAGCAAUCAAGCCUCCGGUUAUAUAUAAUGGUAGAGACAGAUAAAGUGUCUUCUUCUCAGCAAUCCAGGAGGCUUUCGAAUUUCCGUCAGCCCACCGUGCAGACAAUACAAGCUGCAGAAGUCGGACUUUCAGCAGAAAUGCCACCAUUGUUACUGCCCUUACGAUCACCUCAUUCAUUUCAAGCAAUCCCCCACUCGCCCGUUGGAAAGAUUGGCGAUUUUGCUUCGAAAAGAACAAGGCUUCAAUGUUCAGCACGAGAGGGAUCAUGUGCCCCAGAGUAAGUACCACAAGCAUGAGAAGUGAGAUGUAAGGAAACAUAUUAGGAUGCUUCUUUAAAUAGAAGAUUUGGUAUCCCACAAAGAAACAUACUAGGGUAUUCGAGACCAAAGCCAUAAUGAUCUCCAAAUCCAUCCUCAGUAUUGAUUCCCUUGCAUAUCGACCAGUGACGGAAACUGCAGAAAAGGAAAGAGGCUGUAAGUAAUGAGGAUCGGAUUCUUUCCUUGUGCUCUUCAUAGUUCCCUGGAUAUAAUUGUUUGAAUCUACUGGAGGAAACUCAAGAUUAACAAGAAAUUCACAGUCCAUCAAAUCAUCAUCUGUAUGAUUGUUUGAGCCAAGAUAUCUGCAGCCCACCAUGCACAUAACUCCUGUUUCAGGAUCAUAAAUUCCCUCAGCAAAAAUUUCAGCUUGAGAAUACUCAUUCAAGGAGGAAUUGAAUGAUGGGAAAUUCAUUUUGUAGCUGAUGUUCAAAGGACUGAUGUGUUGAUUUUUUGCUUCAUCCAGAGAGUUCCUUGAACUGGAAAAUGGCAUGGAGUACCCGUUCCGUACUGGAAUUUGAUCGCCUAUAAAGAGGGGGCUUGCAUAGCCCCAUCCAAUUCUUUUUCCACUGGAAUUCUUGACUGACAUAUCAAAUUGCAUGUCAUAUGAAUUUGCAUCUGGGUAUUGGGUUUCUUUCUUUCUUGCUGGCUGCUUCUUCAGGCAUGAAUUUGUUGCUCUAUCAACAAAGGUAUACUCAUAUUUAAGCCCUGGAAUCCCACGCAACUCACCCCUGUAACUUUGAAACCUGAUCCUCUUGAAGUAACCAGACUCAUUUGCACCUUUGUUGCUCCAAAUAUGUCCCACAAUAGCACUAUUCUUUCUGACUGACCAAACAGAAGGGAACCUUAAACUCAUCCUUAUUGAGCAAUCCUCAACAAGAGAACUAUUCAAGGAAUUUGUUGCAGUCGAAAUUCGACAAGCAACAAUACAUAGCUGAUUUUUCUUGGAAUUCCAUGAUCCUUCUGCAACUAAUGUUGUAUUUGGACUGAAGGGGAGAUAAUAAUCAGCAUAGCUACUGUUGGGAAAUUCUAACAGAAAUCUCAGACUUGGUCUAUCAUGUAAACAUUCAAUUAAACUCAAGGACAUCACUCCAGGCAAAAAUCCAACACCCUCACCCAAAGGAUUACAAUUCUUUGCAGAAUCACAGCCACUUGCGUACAUUAAUUGGAAUGAAUUGCUCCCCUGUGAAAACACCGAGCAAAUUGAUUUACUCAGUGGUAAGGUGAGAGAACUUUUUGCAUCAUCAAUCUCAGCAGUACACACAGAAUCAAGUUCUUUUGAAACCUCAGUGUAUGUAUAAUUCAUUCGAGGGAACAUCAAGAGCGAAAUUGGUUUGAAAUAACUCGAAUCAUCAGCAGAGUUCAAGCUCUCCAAUGUUCCUCUAAUCAAACUAGUAAUCUCAUUUUCACUCUUAACAUCAUUAAGCUUAAGAAGAGCUUGAAGAACACGAGCUUUACCUUCAUGUGAGUUAGUAGAACUCGAUCCCACCAUACAAAGCUUCCCAGUAGAUUUUGACCAGAACCCUUCUAAUUCCAAACUCAAAACACCCCUCUCAGACCAACUAGAAAUGACCUGUGGAGAAUACGAAUAGCUGUAUGUAACAUCCUCCACAUAAUAGCUACUUCUUGAGGGUUGGAGGAUCAAGCUCGCCUGAACUUUGUAUACACCAUCAAGAUCAGUGCUGUGGACGUGAUGUGAGCGAAUCACUAGGACCCUCCUUUCACCUGAUGGGUAGUAGCGGUAGUAGCGAGUUGAGUUUGAAUGACUAAACAUUCCAUCCCCACCAAGGAAGUAACCUUCCUGGUUUGGAGGAAAAGGGAUGGUGGUGAAUUCAGGAGAAGUAGGAGGAGAUUCAGGGACAAUCUUGUCACAGUUAUCAUGGUAAUCUGGGAUGUCAGGGUGGGAGCAAGAGACUAUAUUUGCAUAAAAUAAGGUGGUAAAGACUAGGAAUGUUGCAGUAUUGUGAAGCCAUGAUAGUUUAUACCAUGAACUAGGAGAGAUAAGCAUAGAGAAACUCAUAGCUAUGGUUUUAAUUUUUCUUCAAGCAGGGAAGAUGGAGAGUGAGGCCUGAACUUCCAUAGACUACAUAUAAAUAUAUCAGUGGAUAACGAGUGGCUUAGUGGUAUCAGGGUCAUUUACGUCUG
rnacentral:misc_RNA from 1 species